AGAUUGAACUGAAGAGUUUGAUCCUGGCUCAGAUUGAACGCUGGCGGCAUGCCUUACACAUGCAAGUCGAACGGCAGCACGGG
rnacentral:rRNA from 1 species